rnacentral:piRNA from 1 species
UGACAGAAGUCCAAGACAUCAGAGGG